rfam:Asian citrus Psyllid, Diaphorina citri - Florida Strain, whole genome shotgun sequence.
GCUCCCAUGGCGUAGUGGUCACUGCGCUCGCCUUGCACGCGGGAGACCCGGGUUCGAUUCCCGGCGGGGUUU